AUUGAACGCUGGCGGCAUGCUUUACACAUGCAAGUCGAGCGGCAGCGCGGGGGCAACCCUGGCGGCGAGCGGCGAACGGGUGAGUAAUGCAUCGGAACGUACCCUGGAGUGGGGGGAUAACGCCGCGAAAGCGGCGCUAAUACCGCAUAUGCUCUGAGGAGGAAAGUGGGGGACCGCAAGGCCUCACGCUCUGGGAGCGGCCGAUGUCCGAUUAGCUAGUUGGUGAGGUAAAGGCUUACCAAGGCGACGAUCGGUAGCUGGUCUGAGAGGAUGAUCAGCCACACUGGGACUGAGACACGGCCCAGACUCCUACGGGAGGCAGCAGUGGGGAAUCUUGGACAAUGGGGGCAACCCUGAUCCAGCCAUGCCGCGUGAGUGAAGAAGGCCUU
rnacentral:rRNA from 1 species